GACGAACGCUGGCGGCGUGCUUAACACAUGCAAGUCGAACGGUAAGGCCCUUCGGGGUACACGAGUGGCGAACGGGUGAGUAACUCGUGGGUGAUCUGCCCUGCACUUCGGGAUAAGCCUGGGAAACUGGGUCUAAUACCGGAUAGGACCACUGCCUGCAUGGGUGGUGGUGGAAAGCUUUUGCGGUGUGGGAUGGGCCCGCGGCCUAUCAGCUUGUUGGUGGGGUGAUGGCCUACCAAGGCGACGACGGGUAGCCGGCCUGAGAGGGUGACCGGCCACACUAGGACUGAGAUACGGCCCAGACUCCUACGGGAGGCAGCAGUGGGGAAUAUUGCACAAUGGGCGAAAGCCUGAUGCAGCGACGCCGCGUGAGGGAUGACGGCCUUCGGGUUGUAAACCUCUUUCAGCACCGACGAAGCGCAAGUGACGGUAGGUGCAGAAGAAGGACCGGCCAACUACGUGCCAGCCGCCGCGGUAA
rnacentral:rRNA from 1 species